CCUACGGGUGGCAGCAGUGAGGAAUAUUGGUCAAUGGGCGCGAGCCUGAACCAGCCAAGUCGCGUGAGGGAAGACGGUCCUAAGGAUUGUAAACUUCUUUUGUCGGGGAGCAAAAGCCGCCACGCGUGGCGUUCCGAGAGUACCCGAAGAAAAAGCAUCGGCUAACUCCGUGCCAGCAGCCGCGGUAAUACGGAGGAUGCGAGCGUUAUCCGGAUUUAUUGGGUUUAAAGGGUGCGCAGGCGGAAGAUCAAGUCAGCGGUAAAAUGGCGGGGCUCAACCCCGUCGAGCCGUUGAAACUGGUUUUCUUGAGUGGGAGAGAAGUAUGCGGAAUGCGUGGUGUAGCGGUGAAAUGCAUAGAUAUCGCGCAGAACUCCGAUUGCGAAGGCAGCAUACCGGCGCUCAACUGACGCUGAUGCACGAAAGUGUGGGUAUCGAACAGGAUUAGAUACCCUUGUAGUC
rnacentral:rRNA from 1 species